rnacentral:rRNA from 1 species
GGCGGACGGGUGAGGAAUACAUCGGAAUCUACUCUGUCGUGGGGGAUAACGUAGGGAAACUUACGCUAAUACCGCAUACGACCUACGGGUGAAAGCAGGGGAUCUUCGGACCUUGCGCGAUUGAAUGAGCCGAUGUCGGAUUAGCUAGUUGGCGGGGUAAAGGCCCACCAAGGCGACGAUCCGUAGCUGGUCUGAGAGGAUGAUCAGCCACACUGGAACUGAGACACGGUCCAGACUCCUACGGGAGGCAGCAGCC